GAUGAACGCUGGCGGCGUGCUUAACACAUGCAAGUCGAACGAGAAGUGAAGACGGAAACCUUCGGGCGGAAGGCUUUAUUUCGAGUGGCGGACGGGUGAGUAACGCGUGGGUAACCUGCCUCAUACAGGGGGAUAACAGUUGGAAACGACUGUUAAUACCGCAUAAGACCACAGCACCGCAUGGUGCGGGGGUAAAAACUCCGGUGGUAUGAGAUGGACCCGCGUUCGAUUAGCCAGUUGGCGGGGUAACGGCCCACCAAAGCGACGAUCGAUAGCCGAUCUGAGAGGAUGACCGGCCACAUUGGGACUGAGACACGGCCCAAACUCCUACGGGAGGCAGCAGUGGGGAAUAUUGCACAAUGGGGGAAACCCUGAUGCAGCGACGCCGCGUGAGUGAAGAAGUAUUUCGGUAUGUAAAGCUCUAUCAGCAGGGAAGAAAAUCACGGUACCUGAGUAAGAAGCCCCGGCUAACUACGUG
rnacentral:rRNA from 1 species